UACAGAGGGUGCGAGCGUUAAUCGGAAUUACUGGGCGUAAAGGGUGCGUAGGUGGUUUGGUCAGUUAGGUGUGAAAGUCCUGGGCUCAACCUGGGGAUUGCGCCUAAUACUGCUGAGCUAGAGUACUGUAGAGGAAAGUGGAAUUUCCGGUGUAGCGGUGAAAUGCGUAGAUAUCGGAAGGAACAUCAGUGGCGAAGGCGACUUUCUGGACAGAUACUGACACUGAGGCACGAAAGCGUGGGGAGCAAACAGG
rnacentral:rRNA from 1 species